AUUGAACGCUGGCGGCAUGCCUUACACAUGCAAGUCGAACGGCAGCACGGGUGCUUGCACCUGGUGGCGAGUGGCGAACGGGUGAGUAAUAUAUCGGAACGUACCUUAUUGUGGGGGAUAACGCAGCGAAAGCUGUGCUAAUACCGCAUAAUCCCUAAGGGGGAAAGCGGGGGACCGUAAGGCCUCGCGCAAUUAGAGCGGCCGAUACCUGAUUAGCUAGUUGGUGAGGUAAAGGCUCACCAAGGCAACGAUCAGUAGCUGGUCUGAGGGGACGAGCAGCCACACUGGGAGUGAGCCACGGCCCAGACUCCUACGGGAGGCAGCAGUGUGGAAUUUUGGACAAUGGGGGCAACCCUGAUCCAGCAUGCCGCGUGAGUGAAGAAGGCCUUCGGGUUGUAAAGCUCUUUUGUCAGGGAAGAAACAGCAGCUCUAACACAGUUUGCGAAUGACGGUACCUGAAGAAUAAGCACCGGCUAACUACGUGCCAGCAGCCGCCGUAA
rnacentral:rRNA from 1 species